CAAAGAGUGCAACGAUUUCAAGGUUGCCUAAAGGACACCAAAUCCCACUGAUCUAGAGCAAGACUUAGAUCAUGCCACUACCUUCAUCUGAUUCUGUGAUUCAGUCCCUUUACUUGAAGCUAGGUCUAUAAGCAAAUUAGUUGGCUUGUGCAGAGAUUGCUCAGAUAGAUGCAGACAUUACCUUGAACUCCCUUGUUACUCACACACUUUACCAAGUUGUAAGAAUCUUCAGAAGAAUCUAAUCUGCUGAUUAGAUCAUCCUGUGCUGGAUAGCAACUAAGGAAGAAAUGAUAUUUGCACAGAGAACAACUGAGGAGACGUGGGAAUAAAUACAUGCCAACUCUUUGGUAAGGCUUUACCUGCUAUGCCUAAUUUUGCAGAAAGAUAUGGAAAGAAUGGAAAGGUUAAAAAGAAGGGCAAAGAAUAUAAGUAGCUUAGUUCUUAACUUCAGUUAUGAAUGUAAGCCAUGAAAACUCUGACAAGCCUUGAAAAGUAUUUAUUACAAAACAGGAAAUCACAGGUCUGAUUAUGUUGCCACUCAUGAGUGUGAAAUUCUAGAACAGACGUCCCACAGGAAAGCUACUGCAGGAAAGGAUUUAAUACAGGGCAUGAAUGAAGCACUGUGCCUCAAGGAGCAAUGGAGUGAGCCCAGCCUCCUAAGCCUGUUUUUUCUUCAAAAUGAGCAACUCUGCUUGAAGAGGAAAAAGAAUUUCCAGUCAGAUGGACCAGAAUCAAUGAUGAUUCUGUGGCUCAGCAAUGAUUCAAAGGGACUGAUGUUAAUAGGAGUAACUAAUGUGUGUUUAAGAAGCAAUUAUGGGAUAAAUUUUAUCAAACAAUAAAUCCAAUUUUGUUAUAUGCAUAUGCAACACACUAUUAUCAAGUGACUAAAAUUCAUGCUAGAAAA